CUUCACCGAGCCCAGCCACAGCGGCCGAUCGGCCGAGUGCUCGCGCCCGUACGUCGCCAGCAGCGCCUGCGCCUC
rfam:Streptomyces sp. CNQ-509, complete genome.